GUGAAUAUUAGCGCAUCUCUUCGGAGAGCGUGACCUCCACUUUCUAACUCUGUGCAUUUAUUUGGCGGGAAACUAUGUAGAUCAGUAGUAAUACUCGAACUACAUGUUUCCUGCGGCUCAUUUUAUAACACUAGUUAAAGUAUGUAACGAAAUAUCGAAACAAAAA
rnacentral:misc_RNA from 1 species